rnacentral:lncRNA from 1 species
CUUGGGUUAAGUUUGCAAGUAUCUUAUUGAGCAUUUUUGCAGCUUUUAAUAAUCUUUCUUUAUUCGGAACAUUUUGUGUUUUUAUUAUUAUGUGGCAAGAGGAUUUUCCUUCCUGGUCCAAACUAAUUGGUGUUCUAUAAGAUACUUGUAUGUUUAUAGGCAUGUUUUUAUUUAGGUUAGGAAAAUGUCUUCUAUGAGUUUGUUGAAAAUAUUUUCUGGUCCUUUGAGCUGGGAAUAUUCUUCUAUUCCUAUUACUCAUAGACUUGGUCUUUUCAUAGUGUCCCAGAUUUCCUGUAUAUUUUGUAUUGGGAGCUUUUUGUAUUUCACAUUUUCUUUGACUGAUGUAUCAGUUUCUUUUUAUCAUAUCAUCAAUAUCUGAGUUUAUCUCUUCUUUUUCUUAUAUUUUGUUGGUGAUGCUGGUGUCUGUAGUUUCUGUUCUCUUCCCUAGGUUUUCCAGCUCCAGGACUCCAUCAGUUUGUGUUUUUUAUUGCUUCUAUUUCCAUCUUCAGGUCUUCAACAGUUUAUUCAUUUUCUUCCCCUGUUUGCAUUUUUCUGGAUCUCCUUAAGGGAUUUAUUCAUUUCCUCUUUAAGGGACUCUAUAAUCUUCAUAAAAUUGUAGUUAAGGUUAUUUUCUUGUGCUUCAACCAUGUUGGAAUAUUCAGUGAUUUCUGUAGUAGAAUAGUUGGGUUCUGGUAGUGCCAUAUUGCCCUGGCUGUUAUGGAUUGUGUUCUUAUGCUGACCUCUAGUUGUCUGGGGUUGGAGUUAUAGUUUAUCUUUGUUAGAUGGGUGGGUCUUUUAAAUUUUGUUUGUUUUUUGUUUUGUUUUGUUUUUAUUCUUGUUGCUGUUGUUUUGUUUUUAGAUGUUUUUUCCUUGUUUCUGUUUUUUCUCUGGUAUUCUGGUCUGAGUUAGCUGGGCUUCUGAUAACCUAGUAGAAUGCCCCUGCUGGGAUUUUUGUGGACUGCAUGAUUGCUGAGGUUUUGGGUGUUUACAUUGCCUCUAGGUUCCCUAGAACCAGCAUGGCCUCUAGGAAAGAAGUUUUCUUCUAAAAUUGUGGGCCAGAAUAUGGAGCCCAGGAGAUAGGGUGCAGUUUAGGGCUGUUGGUUGUACUUUUUGGGGAGUUAGAAGGCAGAGGGUAGAGUAUUAUCUGGGGUCCCUAGUGCAGUUCUUGUCUCUGGACAAGCAGCUGGGGUUGUGGGCAGGAAUAUGGAGACUAGGGGUUGGAGUUGAUUUCUAAAUAAUCUUAUUAUGAUCCUCACUAUAUACUAAAAAUACACUAAUAGAACUUCAUUGAAUAAUGGCUUGGCAUAUUACUCUACCAAACUAUCAGAGGGUUUACUGUAUCUUUUGUUUUGAUAUAGGAUUUUGAAUUCUGAUCUCCAGUUUAAAAUUAUCCACAUAUCCAAUUGAAAGCUCCCAUAAAAGAUGUACACAUAGCUUCAUGGCAUUCUGGAUUUUGCACAUUUGUAUAGUCAUUUUCAUGAACAUGAGCUGGGCUUUCAGGCAUACAGGAAGUGAUGUUACAGCUGCCUUUCUUGUUUUCUGACUUUGGCACAAAGGAGCUUUAGACCAGUGUAACUGGGAGAGCAACAGCUUUUGUCCCUUGGGAAACUUAGUUUCCAAGGUUAGUCUGGGAUUCAAGGGCCAGAAUCAUACCUGAGAGAGUGGAGUCUUGUACAUCUGGGACCAGGGUGCUGAAGGGAUUUUCUGUGGUGUUUUUAGGCCUCUUCACAGGUGAAUUCUCAAGCUAUUUUCCAUUAACUCUUAAAUUGGUAAAGAUAGAGAGCUGGAAGAAGGUUACAAAUCUCAUUUUCUCUGGAAAAAGAGUGCUUUGUCUUUUCAAGAAUCACAUUUCCUGGCAAAUAAGAAACUAUAUCUUGUAAUAGAAAUCACUCUUUCAUCUAUUCCAAAUAAUCUUACUUAGGGUUGGGUAGAAGAAUGAUGGCUUUAUAAAGGGGAAAGAAGAAAAGGACUUUAUAAGGACAGUGGCCUGACCUUGUCCCACCCCAGCCUUUUCUUGUGCCAGCUCCAAGACCUAUCAUUGUCUACAAAGAGUCAGUGGUUCAAACACCAAAUUUCCAAGUAGAGAGUUAACCACCAGAGUUUCCUGAUUCAUUAUUUUAUCAAGAAAUUUCUCAGGGAAAGACAGGCUAAAGCACAUUUUAAGAGGUCAACAUGUCUAAGGAUUACUUCAAAUUUCUCUUAUGGCAAAGCAGUCACUAUACAUUUAUUACUAAGUUCAUGGGGAAGAGUGAGGAGCCAAACCCAGAAAAUCAAAACAUUAUAAGUAUUUCUUUUUUAUUAGAUAUUUUCUUUAUUUACAUUUCAAAUGUUGUCCCCUUUCCUAGUUUCCCCUCCGAAAAAUCCCCUAUCCUCUCCCCCAUACCCCUUCUCCCUGACCCACCUACUCCUGCUUCCUGGCCCAGACAUUCCCCUAUACUGGGGCAUAGAACCUUCACAGGACCAAGGGCCUCUUAUAAGUGUAUUUCUUAAUUGAUGAUUAAUGUGUUCUCAAAGUUACUAUUAUCUGCUGUGCAGAAUACUUACACAAACUAGUUAUUUUUCUAAAUAAAAUUACUUGGCUGUUUAAGCCUUUUCCUCUACAAAAUACAAAGCACAAGUUAUAGACUUUUAUUUCUCAGUCAACACCAGUAGUUACAUAACUAUAACAGCUGUUUUGACCUAAAAAUAAUCCAUUUGUUUCAAGAAAGAAAACAUUUGAUAUAGUGGAUAAAAUUUUCUCAAUUACCUGCUUGAGUGGAUUGGAGGCUUGAAUCUAAUGCUGAGUUGGUAACACAAAAGAAUAGUAAAAAUAAUUAACUUAUAUUUUCAUAUGCUUUGUUGAAAUAUUAUUCAAUUUUUAUAACUUUUAAGAAGUGGCAAAUAUAAUCAUUUGACAGUUAUACUGAGAAAUACCAAGUAAAAAUUUGUCCUUCCUAAGACCAAUAUUUGUAUUAUCUUGAAGCACAUUAUUAGAGUGAAAUUACAUAUUUAGGGCAAAUACUUUCACAAAGUUUUGGACAACUGAAAUAUGGACAAAUUUUCAGGGGCCUCAUUUAGCAUUUUAAGAUCAAAUGUGUCAGUUUUGUUUCUCUAGAAAAUCAAAUGUUGAUUCUCAUUUCUGCUCUUUGUUAGUGAAUGUACAUAAAAGCUUAAAUACUGGAGAAGGAAUCCCUUCUAGAUGUAAUGUUCAAAGGAGUCAUAAUAACAGAAAUUACUGACACAAUUUCUUGGCAGAUCAAGGCAGACCACUAUCUUAGUUAUAAUUGAAGUCCCUCAAGGGUAUGUAUUCUGCAUUAACUAUUAUCC